rnacentral:rRNA from 1 species
UACGUAGGGGGCGGAGCGUUUGUCCGGAAUUAUUGGGCGUAAAGAGCGUGUAGGCGGUUCGGUAAGUCUGCCGUGAAAUCCUGGGGCUCAACCCGGGCGUGCGGUGGAUACUGCCGGGCUAGAGGGUGGUAGAGGCGAGUGGAAUUCCCGGUGUAGCGGUGAAAUGCGCAGAUAUCGGGAGGAACACCAGUAGCGAAGGCGGCUCGCUGGGCCUUCCUGACGCUGA